CGGACGGGUGAGUAAUGUCUGGGAAACUGCCCGAUGGAGGGGGAUAACUACUGGAAACGGUAGCUAAUACCGCAUAACGUCGCAAGACCAAAGAGGGGACCUUCGGGCCUCUUGCCAUCGGAUGUGCCCAGAUGGGAUUAGCUAGUAGGUGGGGUAACGGCUCACCCAGGCGACGAUCCCUAGCUGGUCUGAGAGGAUGACCAGCCACACUGGAACUGAGACACGGUCCAG
rnacentral:rRNA from 1 species